rnacentral:rRNA from 1 species
AUUGAACGCUGGCGGCAUGCCUUACACAUGCAAGUCGAACGGCAGCAUGAUCUAGCUUGCUAGAUUGAUGGCGAGUGGCGAACGGGUGAGUAAUACAUCGGAACGUGCCCUGUAGUGGGGGAUAACUAGUCGAAAGAUUAGCUAAUACCGCAUACGACCUGAGGGUGAAAGUGGGGGACCGCAAGGCCUCAUGCUAUAGGAGCGCCCGAUGUCUGAUUAGCUAGUUGGUGAGGUAAAGGCUCACCAAGGCGACGAUCAGUAGCUGGUCUGAGAGGACGAUCAGCCACACUGGGACUGAGACACGGCCCAGACUCCUACGGGAGGCAGCAGUGGGGAAUUUUGGACAAUGGGCGAAAGCCUGAUCCAGCAAUGCCGCGUGUGUGAAGAAGGCCUUCGGGUUGUAAAGCACUUUUGUCCGGAAAGAAAUGGCUCUGGUUAAUACCUGGGGUCGAUGACGGUACCGGAAGAAUAAGGACCGGCUAACUACGUG